rnacentral:rRNA from 1 species
AACGAACGCUGGCGGCAUGCCUGACACAUGCAAGUCGAACGAGACCUUCGGGUCUAGUGGCGCACGGGUGCGUAACGCGUGGGAAUCUGCCCUUUGCUUCGGAAUAACAGUUAGAAAUGACUGCUAAUACCGGAUGAUGUCUUCGGACCAAAGAUUUAUCGGCAAAGGAUGAGCCCGCGUAGGAUUAGGUAGUUGGUGGGGUAAAGGCCUACCAAGCCGACGAUCCUUAGCUGGUCUGAGAGGAUGAUCAGCCACACUGGGACUGAGACACGGCCCAGACUCCUACGGGAGGCAGCAGUGGGGAAUAUUGGACAAUGGGUGUAAGCCUGAUCCAGCCAUGCCGCGUGCAGGAAGAAGGCCUUCUGGGUUGUAAACUGCUUUUGCCGGGGGAUAAAAGAUCCAUGCGUGGAGAAUUGAAGGUACCCGGUGAAUAAGCCACGGCUAACUACGUGCCAGCAGCCGCGGUAAU